AUGGUGGUAACGGGUAACGGGGUGUUAGGGCACGACACCGGAGAGGGAGCCUGAGAAACGGCUACCACAUCCAAGGAUGGCAGCAGGCGCGCAAAUUACCCAAUCCCGACACGGGGAGGUAGUGACAAUAAAUAACAAUACGGGGUUCUUUUGGAUCUUGUAAUUGGAAUGAGUACAAUUUAAAUCUCUUAACGAGGAACAAUUGGAGGGCAAGUCUGGUGCCAGCAGCCGCGGUAAUUCCAGCUCCAAUAGCGUAUAUUAAAGUUGUUGCAGUUAAAAAGCUCGUAGUUGAAUUUCGAGACCGGUCUACUGGUCGUGCUUUUGUACGUACUGGUAUAAUCGGUUUCUCUCUUCUGACGAACUAUAAUGCCAUUAAUUUGGUGUUUUAGGGAAUCAGGACUGUUACUUUGAAAAAAUUAGAGUGUUUAAAGCAGGCUCACGCUUGAAUACAUUAGCAUGGAAUAACGAAAUAGGACGUUUGAUUCUAUUUUGUUGGUUUCUAGGAUCGACGUAAUGAUUAAUAGGGAUAGUUGGGGGCAUUAGUAUUCAAUUGUCAGAGGUGAAAUUCUUGGAUUUAUUGAAGACUAACUACUGCGAAAGCAUUUGCCAAGGAUGUUUUCAUUAAUCAAGAACGAAAGUUAGGGCAUCGAAGACGAUCAGAUACCGUCGUAGUCUUAACCAUAAAUUAUGCCGA
rnacentral:rRNA from 1 species